UCUAAAACUGUUUGAAUGAUGUCUGUGAGUAUAACAGAACUCAUAUGGCAAGCAAAAACCUGAGAGAAAUCCUACCAGGAAGUGGAAAUCUGGAUGCAUGGGCUCUCUUCAAGUCGUUUCCUAUUGAACACACAGUGACGUAGUAAUAAUUGUGCACUUCCUACGGCUUCCACUGGAUGUCAACAGUCUUUACAAAGUUGUUUGAGGCGUCUAUGACGAACAGAGACCGAAUGAGAAGGUGGGGAAGUUGGUCACCCAGGGAAUGACAUCACUUCAUUGGUGCGCGUUCACGAGGGUGGAUCCUCUGUUACAAAACGUUUUUCAAGACACAGGAACCGUCCGGUUGAAAUAUUACUGAAUCUUCACGUUCUAAAGGCCCUAAAGAUUGAUGUUUUACAACGUUUGACAUGUUUGAACGAACGUAAAUACAACUUUUUUUUACUUUUCGUCGUGACAUUGUCCGCGCGCUUCCUACAUUUGGAGUAGCUGAACUGAACGUGCGAACAACAAGGAGUUAUUUGGACAUAAAUUAUGAACUUUAUCGAACAAAACAACAUUUAUUGUGGACCUGGUAUUCCUGGAAGUGCCUUCUGAUGAAGAUCAUCAAAGGAAUUGGUGCUUGGAGUUCGUCAGUCCUCAAGUGUGGACCAAUAACGCUAGCUUGGUGUGCAACAACCGGUGGUGGACCUGAGCCCUAGGACCAUGCCUCAGGACUACCUGGCUUGAUGACUCCUUGCUGUCCCCAGUUCACCUGGCCGUGCUGCUGCUCCAGUUCCAACUGUUCUGCCUGCAGCUAUGGAACCCUGACCUGUUCACCGGACGUGCUACCUGUCCCAGACCUGUUGUCCCAGACCUGCUGGAACCCUGACCUAUUCACUGGACGUGCUACCUGUCCCAGACCUGCUGUUUUUAACUCUCUAGAGACAGCAGGAGCGGUAGAGAUACUCUCAAAGAUCGGCUAUGAAAAAGCCAACUGACACUUACUCCUGUGUUACUGACUUGUUGCACCCUCGACAACUACUAUGAUUAUUAUUAUUUGACAAUGCUGGUCAUUUAUGAACAUUUGAACAUUUGAACAUCUAGGCCAUGUGCUGUUAUAAUCUCCACCCGGCACAGCCAGAAGAGGACUGGCCACCCCUCAUAGCCUGGUUCCUCUCUAGGUUUCUUCCUAGGUUUUGGCCUUUCUAGGGAGUUUUUCCUAGCCACCGUGCUUCUACACCUGCAUUGCUUGCUGUUUGGGGUUUUAGGCUGGGUUUCUGUACAGCACUUUGAGAUAUCAACUGUUGUAAGAAGGGCUAUAUAAAUAAAUUUGAUUUGAUUUGAGGUACCCUUUAAAUAAGAAGAAUUAGGCUCCAACACAGAGCCCUCUCCUUAUAAAGUCGAAUUAAAACAAAGAAAGUUUAAAUGAAUCAGGUGUUCUACAAUUAGUCUACUUUUAGCAAUCAUGCACUGUCCAUCUCCGAUGGAUUGUGCCGGGGCUGCUGCUUCAAUGUAGCCAAAUGUAAAUUAUCUGGCUUAUUGUGAGAUCAAUAACUAUGAUAAAUAGCUUCACCAUGGGAAACGAAACAUAUUGUUUUAAUUUUUAAAAACUAUAGCAGUAGCUAACUAUCAGUUUACCUUCUCAUCUUCACGCGUGCCGUCUCAAACUGAACAGGACAUCAGAUUACCGCUUGCACAGAUAUAUUGCAUUUUUUUUACAAAUCAAAAUGCUUCUCUGAGCAUGCACUUCGUAUAGCCUAGGCCUAUAGCCUAGUAUAGGCUAUGGAUCAUUUGAUUAAGACCACACUAAAUAUAGGCGCACUUGAUAUUGUGCGCCCAGCAGAGAAUCAGGGAUGAGUGGCAGCAUCGGGCACAUAUUGAGCUAUAACUAGUGUUGGGGUAUGUUCCUUGUUCCUUGUCAAUCAUUGGCUUGUUGGUGAAAUCAGCAAUCAGACAAUAUCUUCUUUAAGUAAAUCAAUCAAACCUUUAUUCAUGCAAUUGCAGACAGAAGUUGACAAUGGAAACAUAGCACGCGUGUUUCAGAGUAAGUUCUGCAAAAUAAAAAAGGUCAAAGUUACUUUAAUAUGCUGCCAGUCAACCCCUAGUGAUGUAACUGCCUAUGUCAACAUCUUCUACUCAUGAGAACAAGCCCAUGCAUAUACAGUUAUACAAACUGCAGGAGAAAACAGUAGUCCAGUGUGUUCUAAGUGCUCAGCAGUAAUUUUCCAUUCCCGUGUAGCUUACAGUGGUAUGUCUGACUUGUCUCUUAUCUCUUUACUCCCCUGCAGGGUUCUGUGUUUAUGUAUCUCUUUUAGCCUUGAGACGCUUUCUCACAGACAACCUGUUUUGACUGCAAUAGCUCACACAUCUCUCAGACCGUUUCUUAUAAGAGGCAGAGACUAGAAAAGAACUGUGGAACAGUAUUAAAGUUUAUAAUGCAUAUAUUGCUAAUCUGUGGUCCAGGACCCUAUAAAUGUAGUGGGGGAGGGUCUUAUAGCCCUUCCCCUUCUAUUAAUACAACAUAAGCAUAAUCAAUUAUUAUAAUACAUCAAUCAUUUGGUGCAGCCCCUAUCAUGACCCCAAGGUGACCCCCAUCACUAGCAACUAAUUCUAAAACACUGAGCAAUACUGAAAUUGAAAAAGCAUGGCUCUCCUGUUUUUUUCUGGGUCACAGUUCCAAAAAUGGCUUAACAUUUUUUUAUAGACCUACAGUGUAUUGCAUUGGGUGCUAUGGAACAGGGCUGGGAAUUGCCAGG
rnacentral:lncRNA from 1 species